ensembl:lncRNA uncharacterized LOC114791210
CUCGGCAGUAAUCUCUCGUCAUCUCGGCUUCUUCUCGCGAUACUUCGAAGAUCCGGGGGGCGGGGCCGGCCCGCGCGCUGCUUCUGAGUCUGACGUCUUCGUUCGGGCUUUUUCGCGGGAUAUUUGGAUUUCAGGUGUCGGUUCACAUGCGGCCAAAAGUGCUUUAGAAACUUCGGCACGCCCCUCAUCCCCCUCGCCGGAGCAGGGAAAGCGUUAAGUGAGAAGACAGCCGCGUUUUCCUCUCGGCGCGAAUCCGGAUUUGUGGUGACCCUCUGACAUGCCACCAGUUUUACGAGCGGAACAGUGGCCAGGGAGGACCAGCCCGACCGAGCCUUGAGAGCCACACUGGGCGCGUCCACUAUGAGACGACCAAAAGCGUCCUCUGAGGCUAAGAAAGAGACCGCGCCGCGACGCAGAACUUCCACGAGGACUUGCAGGCACUUUGCAAGCGCCUUCUGUCCGUCCCCGCCGCUGGUCAACCAGGUCGUGAUUGUUGACGAGUUGGACAACGAGAGCGUCGGUUUCAGCGAAGACGACGAUCCUGCCUACAGCCAUGGCCACAAGAGCGGUCUGCCUACGAAGAGGCAGGCCAUUGUCUUCCCUUAUAAAGGUGAUGACGACGAAGAUGACGCUCGCACGUUGUCGCAAGGCGAGAGAGGUUCUCCUGCGGCGCACCACAUUUCCUUGCACGGAGGAUUUGGAGCUGCGGUCCCAGAGAGCCGGAGUCCGGACUCUCUCCUGGCCUGCACUUCAGGCAUGGGCGGGGUGUGGGGCGCCACCAGGCUGGAUGGGAACGACUCCGACACGUCCUGCUCUUCGGCGAAGUCCAUGGUGUCUGGUCCCAGCACACCAGCAGGAAUUUGCCCCAGCUGUGAGAAGCUCUUUGAUAAAAUGAGGCGUCAGAACCAGGGGAAACACAACGGCAAGACAAAAGAUCCGGCUUCUUUGGCUUAUGACCAGUGGGUUCUCUUGAAAACGUGGAGACCAAGCAGGGUACGUCACAUAAAGGGGAAGUUGUGGACCAGUCUGAGACACAUUAGGCAGCUUGCCCUGAAACGGACAACAGGGUCUGAGGAAACACAGUGGUUGAGCGCAGCUUGUUCCAGACCUCAUGUCUUUCUGAGAAGGACUUUACAGCAAUGCAAGAAAUAUACAGGCAACCUCAGUAUCACAGCACAGGCCAAACAGAAGCAUCCUCCGAGACAUCAGAGGCCCUUGCGCAGUUGGCCAUUGAUUGGUGGGGGAAAGGGCCAGAAGAAGAGGAAGUGGCAGCAUCUAGGGCUGGAUGGAGAGAGGCGACAUACAGCACAAGGCUGUUUAGUUCUGGCCGAGUCUCCCAGUGAAAGUGUGGGAUCUUGGGGUGAAAUGAUAAGCAACACUGGGUCACGGGGACAUGUUAGAAGGAUCCCAGACCCUCAGGGCAGUACUAGCUCCUGCCCGGAGAGUCGCUGGCAAGUAAGCGAGAACGGGGUGGCAGCACAUAGGAUGAAACCAGUUCGCAGAAAAAGCAGGCACAAGAGCGGUGUUGUGGAAAUAGAAAGUGCCCCGGCAAACCAAUCGGAUUGGUUCGACUUUCCCAGCAGGCCUUGGGGGGGGUCUGUUCUGUUCUCCAGUCUAACGCCUGACGAGGAGCCCAGAUUGGCGAGGAAGUGUCGCCCGUCUCUCCGCACUUACGAGUCCUGCAAGCCCAGAAAUGGAGACUUCAGGUCUAUGCUGGCCUCCCUGGAAAAGAACAAGAGUAUUUUGUUUAAAGAAGAUGAGCAACCCUAG